UACGGGGGGUCCAAGCGUUGUUCGGAAUCACUGGGCGUAAAGCGUACGUAGGUGGUCGAGUAAGUCGAUUGUGAAAGCCCCGAGCUUAACUCGGGAAUUGCAACCGAAACUGCUCAGCUAGAGUAUGGUGGGGGAUAGUGGAAUUUCUAGUGUAGGGGUGAAAAUCCGUAGAUAUUAGAAGGAAUACCGGUGGCGAAAGCGACUAUCUAUGCCAUUACUGACACUGAGGUACGAAAGCGUGGGGAGCAAACAGG
rnacentral:rRNA from 1 species